UACGGGGGGGGCAAGCGUUGUUCGGAAUUACUGGGCGUAAAGGGCUCGUAGGCGGCCAACUAAGUCAGACGUGAAAUCCCUCGGCUUAACCGGGGAACUGCGUCUGAUACUGGAUGGCUUGAGUUUGGGAGAGGGAUGCGGAAUUCCAGGUGUAGCGGUGAAAUGCGUAGAUAUCCGGAGGAACACCGGUGGCGAAGGCGGCAUCCUGGACCAACACUGACGCUGAGUGAGCGAAAGCCAGGGGAGCAAACGGG
rnacentral:rRNA from 1 species